AAAUUGAAGAGUUUGAUCAUGGCUCAGAUUGAACGCUGGCGGCAGGCCUAACACAUGCAAGUCGAGCGGUAGCACAGAGAGCUUGCUCUCGGGUGACGAGCGGCGGACGGGUGAGUAAUGUCUGGGAAACUGCCUGAUGGAGGGGGAUAACUACUGGAAACGGUAGCUAAUACCGCAUAACGUCGCAAGACCAAAGUGGGGGACCUUCGGGCCUCAUGCCAUCAGAUGUGCCCAGAUGGGAUUAGCUAGUAGGUGGGGUAACGGCUCACCUAGGCGACGAUCCCUAGCUGGUCUGAGAGGAUGACCAGCCACACUGGAACUGAGACACGGUCCAGACUCCUACGGGAGGCAGCAGUGGGGAAUAUUGCACAAUGGGCGCAAGCCUGAUGCAGCCAUGCCGCGUGUGUGAAGAAGGCCUUCGGGUUGUAAAGCACUUUCAGCGGGGAGGAAGGCGACAAGGUUAAUAACCUUGUCGAUUGACGUUACCCGCAGAAGAAGCACCGGCUAACUCCGUGCCAGCAGCCGCGGUAAUACGGAGGGUGCAAGCGUUAAUCGGAAUUACUGGGCGUAAAGCGCACGCAGGCGGUCUGUCAAGUCGGAUGUGAAAUCCCCGGGCUCAACCUGGGAACUGCAUUCGAAACUGGCAGGCUAGAGUCUUGUAGAGGGGGUAGAAUUCCAGGUGUAGCGGUGAAAUGCGUAGAGAUCUGGAGGAAUACCGGUGGCGAAGGCGGCCCCCUGGACAAAGACUGACGCUCAGGUGCGAAAGCGUGGGGAGCAAACAGGAUUAGAUACCCUGGUAGUCCACGCCGUAAACGAUGUCGAUUUGGAGGUUGUGCCCUUGAGGCGUGGCUUCCGGAGCUAACGCGUUAAAUCGACCGCCUGGGGAGUACGGCCGCAAGGUUAAAACUCAAAUGAAUUGACGGGGGCCCGCACAAGCGGUGGAGCAUGUGGUUUAAUUCGAUGCAACGCGAAGAACCUUACCUGGUCUUGACAUCCACAGAACUUAGCAGAGAUGCUUUGGUGCCUUCGGGAACUGUGAGACAGGUGCUGCAUGGCUGUCGUCAGCUCGUGUUGUGAAAUGUUGGGUUAAGUCCCGCAACGAGCGCAACCCUUAUCCUUUGUUGCCAGCGGUUAGGCCGGGAACUCAAAGGAGACUGCCAGUGAUAAACUGGAGGAAGGUGGGGAUGACGUCAAGUCAUCAUGGCCCUUACGACCAGGGCUACACACGUGCUACAAUGGCAUAUACAAAGAGAAGCGACCUCGCGAGAGCAAGCGGACCUCAUAAAGUAUGUCGUAGUCCGGAUUGGAGUCUGCAACUCGACUCCAUGAAGUCGGAAUCGCUAGUAAUCGUAGAUCAGAAUGCUACGGUGAAUACGUUCCCGGGCCUUGUACACACCGCCCGUCACACCAUGGGAGUGGGUUGCAAAAGAAGUAGGUAGCUUAACCUUCGGGAGGGCGCUUACCACUUUGUGAUUCAUGACUGGGGUGAAGUCGUAACAAGGUAACCGUAGGGGAACCUGCGGUUGGAUCACCUCCUUACCUUAAAGAA
rnacentral:rRNA from 2 species